UUUUAUGGAGAGUUUGAUCCUGGCUCAGAGUGAACGCUGGCGGCGUGCCUAAUACAUGCAAGUCGAACGAUGAAGCUUCUAGCUUGCUAGAAGUGGAUUAGUGGCGCACGGGUGAGUAAGGUAUAGUUAAUCUGCCCUACACAAGAGGACAACAGUUGGAAACGACUGCUAAUACUCUAUACUCCUGCUUAACACAAGUUGAGUAGGGAAAGUUUUUCGGUGUAGGAUGAGACUAUAUAGUAUCAGCUAGUUGGUAAGGUAAUGGCUUACCAAGGCUAUGACGCUUAACUGGUCUGAGAGGAUGAUCAGUCACACUGGAACUGAGACACGGUCCAGACUCCUACGGGAGGCAGCAGUAGGGAAUAUUGCGCAAUGGGGGAAACCCUGACGCAGC
rnacentral:rRNA from 1 species